rnacentral:rRNA from 1 species
UAUGUGACCANAUCCCAUCCGUGUCUAUUGUACCCUGUUGCUUCGGCGGGCCCGCCGCUUGUCGGCCGCCGGGGGGGCGCCUCUGCCCCCCGGGCCCGUGCCCGCCGGAGACCCCAACACGAACACUGUCUGAAAGCGUGCAGUCUGAGUUGAUUGAAUGCAAUCAGUUAAAACUUUCAACAAUGGAUCUCUUGGUUCCGGCAUCGAUGAAGAACGCAGCGAAAUGCGAUAACUAAUGUGAAUUGCAGAAUUCAGUGAAUCAUCGAGUCUUUGAACGCACAUUGCGCCCCCUGGUAUUCCGGGGGGCAUGCCUGUCCGAGCGUCAUUGCUGCCCUCAAGCCCGGCUUGUGUGUUGGGUCGCCGUCCCCCUCUCCGGGGGGACGGGCCCGAAAGGCAGCGGCGGCACCGCGUCCGAUCCUCGAGCGUAUGGGGCUUUGUCACAUGCUCUGUAGGAUUGGCCGGCGCCUGCCGACGUUUUCCAACCAUUCUUUCCAGGUUGACCUCGGAUCAGGUAGGGAUACCCGCUGAACUUA